rnacentral:rRNA from 1 species
GGAAUAUUGCACAAUGGGCGAAAGCCUGAUGCAGCAACGCCGCGUGAGGGAUGACGGCCUUCGGGUUGUAAAGCUCUUUUGUCAGGGAAGAAACGGUGAGAGCUAAUAUCUCUUGCUAAUGACGGUACCUGAAGAAUAAGUACCGGCUAACUACGUGCCAGCAGCCGCGGUAAUACGUAGGGUGCAAGCGUUAAUCGGAAUUACUGGGCGUAAAGCGUGCGCAGGCGGUUUUGUAAGUCUGAUGUGAAAUCCCCGGGCUCAACCUGGGAAUUGCAUUGGAGACUGCAAGGCUAGAAUCUGGCAGAGGGGGGUAGAAUUCCACGUGUAGCAGUGAAAUGCGUAGAUAUGUGGAGGAACACCGAUGGCGAAGGCAGCCCCCUGGGUCAAGAUUGACGCUCAUGCACGAAAGCGUGGGGAGCAAACAGGAUUAGAUACCCGAG